AUUAGGGCACCCGAUCCUCAUUCGAACCAGCAGCGUAAGAACUCUGGCUUAGAUCUACUCGCUGCUGGUUCGUCACUUCAGCAGUGCAGCUGUGCUCGUUCUGGGCUGCCAAGAAUAAGUCGAGUCGAGAGCCUGUUGUCCGCAGUUCCUGGGUCGAGCUGAGACUGUCAUUCACAGUUCCUGGGUCAAGUCGAGAGACUGCCGUCCGCAGUUCCUGGGUUGAGUCGAGAGCCUGUUAUCCGCAGUUCCUGCGUCGAGUCGAAAGCCUGUCGUCUGCAGUUCCUGAGUUGAGUUGAGAGCCUGUCAUUCACUGUUCCUGAGUCGAGUCAAGAGCCUGCCGUCCAGCUGAGUUUGUCGGCCGUUUGCCACUUCAUGAGCUACCCGGAGUCGAGAAUACAUGUGGUCUGCCUGAAGCUCAAGGACUAAAAGGAGAAAUGGGAUUUUAAACUCUGAAGGUAUCUGUGGUCCUGUUGGAGUCUGUGAUCUACAGCUGAAUUCAAGCUAUGGUUCUGCGUGGCAGUGGGUUCCUGUUCUUGCAGCUCGCCGACUGGCCGCGUUUCAUUACCUCCCAGAAGACGGGCGCCUUUGGGGUGCAGCCUUGCACAGCCCUGCAGAUGACUUGAUUCCCUGGCAGUGUUGCAACUGAAGCGUCAUGGGAGACUGGAACAUCGAGACAGCGGGGAGGCUGUUAGAGGGCUCUGCAUUCGGCCGAUUGCUCUUUCUCUCUCUCUGUCAAUGGUGAGAGAGAUUGCUGCCAAUUCUCGAGUCAGGGAACUUGAAAUAAAAAAAAAGUGGCGCUACAGACUGUAACAUUGAAAUUGUGAACUAAUGGUCUCUCUUCUUGCUGUGGAGAGAUUGGUACCUCUCUUGGCCUUGUUGGGCUGAGAGAGAAAGUGAGAGAGUGAGAGGGGUGGGGUGCUGAUCUUUUCUUCUGGAAUAGAAGGGGGAGAAGGAGAGAAUUGGUGCUUCUGCUGCUGCUUGUGCAUGGGUGGGGUUUUGGGGUUUUUAUGCUUUUUCUGGCAUUUGUUCUUUGGGGGAUUUUUUCUGUUUUGUGGAUAUCUGCGGAGAGUAGGAAUUUCAGAUUGUAUAUUUUAUACAUUCUCCGAUAUUAGGUAGAACAUUUGAACCAUUAAACCAUAUUAGGGGUAAUGAAUUAGCCACCAUCAAUUCUUUAGGAUGCUGGAGAAUCCAAAAGGGGAGAAUGCACUCAGAGGGAGAAUGUGCAAACUCUACGCAGACAGCAGCUAAGAUCAGGAUCAAACUGACCAGUUGGAUUUGUGUGGCUAAUGCACUAACUGCUGCACUACCAGACUCAGCUUCAUCUGAAAUACCACUAGUAUCUUUUCCCCUUCUUAGAGAAGCAAAGCAAAUCAAAUGUCUAACUUUUCAAAGUUAAAAGUAACAGGGAUUCAGUCCCUGAUGUGCAUUCUUGGUAUCCAGCAACAGCAAUCAUGGAUUAGACCUAAGCAUGGCGUUGGCAAUGAUCAAUGUAUUUUAUACAUGCAGUGACAACGUUAUUAGACAUACCUGUAUACCUUCUCCUCAAUGCAAAUAUCUAAUCUACCAAUCGUGUAACAGCAACUCAAUGCAUAAAAGCAUGCAGAUUUGGUCAAGAGGUCCAGUUGUUGUUCAAACCAAACAUUAGAAUUGGGAAGAAAUGUGAUUUUUAAGUACGUGGGUUAUCACCAAAGGAAAGAAAUGGCUGGAGUCACUCAGUACUUUAGCGCAAGGGUGCUUAUUAGCUGUGUCAAAAAUCAAUGAAAUUAUUAAAAUCAGCAAAAGUAGUGAACAGAGAAUUAUCAAUAUAUUAUACAAGAAGAUAUCUACUAGAAAAUACAGUAAUAGUUUUGAACUUAUACUUGUUCAGUGUGAACACCUGGCAACCCUCACCUCUCUCUUCGACUGACAGUGAAGAGCCCUGAGCAAUUAGGCACUCCAGCAUACCAUCUUUAAUUACCCACAAAGUUAAUUUAAGAUUACAUAUGAGUUAGAAUAUGAUGCAGCCCACAAUGUAGUUACAAUCAUAUUACAAAAUAAACAGAUAUAUCUACCUUAAAUACAGUAUACAAGUAAAAUAUACAUGUUUACACAUCCCCGAUACUAAAG